rnacentral:pre_miRNA from 1 species
UAUUAAAAAAAUAACAUUUUUACAGUUAAAAAAUAGUGUGGCUGACAAAAUAAUCGGGUAAUUACACAUGACGUUCCAGGUUUACCUCAUUUUGAUGUAUAAGAACCAAUUUUUAAAAUUAAAAAUAAAUGUAAUUUUUAACA